UUUGUUGAAACGGGAUCCACCCCGGAAGCCUUCUGACGCAACGACUAUAACCGUGCGUCCAGUCUGGAAAUAGCGCUUUCCAGGCGACGUCGCCCCUGUGCUGGGACCCGUAACUGUCAGUUAUGGCGGACCAGCAGCCAGUUUUCUGGUUCACAGAUUAAGUGGUGGCGGUCUCGGGGUUUAUCAAGCCGGGAUCAAGAUAUAAUCGGUUCUCUUAUCUCACAGAGGUGACAUGUUCCGUAGGUGAACCUGCGGAAGGAUCAUUA
rnacentral:rRNA from 1 species